rnacentral:lncRNA from 10 species
AUAUGUUUUUAGUGAUGUAUCUCUUUAAAGAUGCUCAAUGUUUUUCAUUCUAAGUCUAGGGAAAUUGAUUUUAAUGUUUUUAACUUUUUUUUAAUUGACUCAUAAUAAUUGUACAUAUUUAUGGGGUACAUAGUGAUGUUUUGAUACAUACAGUGUGCAGCAAUCAAAUCAAGGUAAUUAUCAUAUCUAUCACCUCAAACAUUUAUCAUUUAUUUGUGUUAGGAACACCAAAAAUUAUCUCUUUUAGCUAUUUGGAAGCAUAUAAUAAACUAUUGUUAACUAUAGUCAUCCCACUGUGCUAUAGAACACUGGAACUUAUUCCUCCUAUCUAGCAGUAAUUUUGUAGCAUUUAAUCAAUCUCUCCGUCUCCCCCCUCCUCCAACACUUCCCAGCCUCUGAGAAGCGCUAUUCUACUCUCUUCUUCCACGAGAUCAACUUUUUUAGCUUCUAUAAAGAUGUUUAAUUUUUCCUGUGAGGUUUAUACAAACGUAUAUCUACAAAAAAUAUUUCCCACAUACUUCCAAACGUAACAGCCAGUCAGCUACUUGACUCUGCAUGGAAAACAAAUCUUGCUCUCUUAAUUCAUUUUCCAAAUUAUUUUAUGAGGUUGUAUAAUAAAAGUCCUUAGCUAAUAAUAUCUUUAUAUUGUGUUUUACAUUUUCAAAGUGUUUCCAUAUAUAUUAACAAAUUCAAGCGUUACAAAAAUCCUAGUAGGUAAACUGGGAAGUAUUAAACCUAUUACACUGAAAAUGCACCCAAGGCACAGAGAAAGUUAAGUGAUUAGCUAAGAUUGCUUGGCUAAUCCAUUCAAACAAAAUACAAAAACAAAACUAAAUCUAGUACCCAGAUCACUUUCCACUGAGAAGUUUGUAUAUAUUAAGAGUUUUUCAUAGUAACUAAAUUUUUAUGACCUCAGUCACACAUGCUACCUCCUCUCCCCUUCCAAGAACCUGAUAGCAAAUCGCUCAGCUUGUCUGCAGCCAGUGUAGUUACUGGAUAAAAUGAUUAGUGAUUAGCGAUAGGUAUCAGUUUAUAUGAGUCACUGACUAAAGGGGACUACUAUGAACUCAGAGUCUCAAUCUGUCAACUCCCAGGAUACAAUUCAAAUUCUAUAAUCUGGCUAACUUACUACUUGUUACUAAUGGCUUAGAAUUUUUUGAAAUGAUUUUAUAUUUUAAGGAGCAUUUUAAAGUUCUCUUGUAUAUCUUGAAACAUAAUAUCUCAGUAGACAGCAGGUAAGUAAUUGCCCUUCAGUAUCAUCUCCUCUUGCCUUCAAUGCUUGCUGCUCAGAAAGAGCACCAUUAUCUUAUAACCUGAUAAGAGGGCAUUUCCAGAAAGAAAUCAAGAGGCAGGAAGCCUGAUUUUCAACAGUUGAGUGGACCCACUGCACUAAAACCGACGGAAUUUGCCCUUGACCCAUGCCUAUGGUAGAAAGUGAAUCCAGCCUGUAGCCUGUUAAGUGCAUCAGAGGCCCAAGUGCCUGGGAGGUAGCCAGCAGGUGGGCAGUGGAUGAGGGGGCUUCAGGGCCUUCUCCAGAAAGCUUUCUCAUCAUAAAUUCACUUCCUCCCUUUACUUUAAAUUACUCUGGCCUUCUCAUAUAUAGUAACCACAAAAUGCUCAUACUAAAGUGGAAAAUGGGAGAAUAAAAAUCAGGCAACAAAACUAUAUACACAAGGCUGAGUGUGGUGGCUCAAGCCCGUAGUUCCAGUGCUUUGGGAGGCCAAGGUGGGAGGAUCGCUGAGGCCAGGAGUUUGAGACCAGCCUGGGCAACAUAGCGAGACUCUGUCCCUACAAACAAAUUUUAAAAAUUAGCCAAGCGUGGUGGUGUGCACUUGUAAUCCUAGCUACUUGGGAGGCCAAGGAGGAAGGAUCACUUGAGCCUGGGGAUUCUAAGUUUUUUUGCUUGAACCCAGGAGUUCUAAGUUUUAGUAAGCUAUCAUUGCCCUGCUGCACUCUAGCCUGGGUGACAGAACAAGACCCUGUCUCUGAAAAAAAAGAAGAAGGAAAAGAAAACUAUAUACACAGGCUUAUUUAUUUUCAUAAGAUAAUUCACAAAAUAGUGCUAAAGGAAAAGGCAUGUGAUAUCUUUGAUGUAAUUUUGUCUUUAUAGAUGCAAAUAUUAAUGAUGUAUACAUACAGACCUAGAUCUAUACAUGUACUCACAAAGAAAGAUGCUGGAAGGCAAACCAGUAAAAUUUACCAUUAUUUCUUUCUUAGGAUUAGAUGAAUGGUAUUUUUUAAGUUUUCUGUACUGAACAUGGGUUAUUUUUGAUACUAGGAAAAAAUGUUACUUGCAACAAUAAAUAUAAUUUUAAAAUCUACCAUAUCAAUGAGUAUAUGUCUUUUUAAAAAGACCAGAAUUAGUUGUACAACAAUGUGAAUAUACUUCACACUGCUGAAUUGUACACUUAAAUAUGGUUAAGAUGGUAAAUUUUAUAUGAUGCCUAUUUUACCACAAUUAAUUUUUUUUAAAAAAAGAUAAAGAGAUUAUGGUAAAGCACUCUUCCAUGAAUAAAGUUACAACAUUGUUUUAAAGCCCAGAAAUAAUUACUUUAAAAUGUCAAGUGAUUGCUUUUCUUUUUUUAUUUUAAAAUUUUGUUCUCCCUUAUCAUUAUCCACAAAUGGUUUCUUUUCUUUUUCCUGGGGGGUAGAUUGCUGCUAGUAGUUAUUUUCAUCUUUAUUUAUUAGAUUUAUUUAUUUCUAAAAUAUUGUAUAGGGUAAUUAUUACCCUUAAAUUAAAAAAAAUUCAUUCCAUGAUUUCAAAAAUACUAAAUAAAAACAGUGACUGUUUGGUAAUUUGUCCUUGUUGACAUGUCGUUUUGUAUUUAUUUUUAUGUUGUUUCAUGUGCAGAUUUUAUUUUCUCAAGGGGACUGCAGAUUCCUAGUGGAUCUUCUAGUGGUUUUGUUGUCUUCAGAGAGUUUUAUACACAUUAAAAUUUGCAUGUUCAUCCACGACACUCACAUCCACCCAAAUAAAAGAGAAAGAAGCCUGCUGUAACCAAAUUUUGACUGCUACCAUUGUAUUUCUUCUGCAAAUAUAAAUAUCUGAUCAUAAGGCUGUGUGAAACAUUUUAAGUUGGUCAAAAACGAGACAGACAUGUGAGUCACUCAUUGUUGUCAUUGUGCUCAGUAUAGGUCUGAAAGCUCAUCUAUGUUAAUUUUGACCAGAGUUCCCAUCCUUUGUCUCUAGGCACAGGCAACACACUGAGCUGGCAUCCUUGCUGUGGGAUGAACAAAGCAAUUUAUCGUUAUUGGCAAGUUGGCCAAUUUCAUCAUUAAUCGAUCAUUCACUUUUUCCAGUGUGGUCCUGAGGCAUUCCUCUAGGGAGCAGAGGAAUUAAGCAGGAUUUGCUCGGUCAGGCAUGGCAGCAACAGCCAUUCCACACGGCUGGGGAGGCCUCACAAUCAUGGCCGAAGGCAAAGGAGGAACAAAAUCACAUCUUACAUGGCAGCAGGCAAGAUUGUGUGUGUAGGGGAACUGCCUUUUAUAAAACCAUCUGGUCUCGUGAGACUUAUUCACUAUCACGAGAACAGCACAG